rnacentral:lncRNA from 1 species
AAGAUAGAAAUGGGGAAAAUGGGAAUCCCUAGCCAAAACGUGCUUCAGUAUCUUUGGUAUUGAAUCUGGCAGAGGUUGAAAAUUCUGAAUUUAACAAAAGAAAAGAAGAAAGAUGAAAAGCACCUCUAUCUUCUAGCUGCUCACCUUAACAGUUGUGAAAUCUGGGAGUACUAUGGGGCUUCGGGCACUCUGUGCAACACAGCACUCUAGGAAGUAGUCGUUUAAAGGCAGGCACAUGCAGUGCCUCAGAACAAUUAAAGGAGCUGUUGGGGAAGGAGUUAAGUGAUUCAAGAACAGGGCUCAAAGGGCUCUUUUCUCCUGCACCACACCCUUCCUUGCUAAGGACCCUGCAGGAGAAGCCAAGCCAAGCCUCAAGCCUCCCAUCCAGGUUGCUAACAUCAAAAGCCUCUCUUGCUGCUCUCACUACCAGCUGCGUUGUUGUUCCACUGGUCUGAAGAGCCACUGGCACACAUCUGGGUGUCUGCAGAGAUCUCUUCAGGGCUCGUAUUUCCAAAGGAGCCUGUGUGAGGCUGCCAGGACAGCUUUCAGUCAUCUGCUUCCUGCAGUGCAGCAUCUGCAGCCCUGCUCUCCACAGCACUUGGAUCUGAAGGGAAGAGGAUUUCCUGGGGCAAGACAAAUAUGUUCAAAGCACCCACGUACCUGUGUGCUCGUGCCUCUACCUGGGUGAUGCUCUCACAUGAGCAUUCUUCUGUUUGGCUCUGGAAAUCAGGAAUCAAAUCAAUGAAAACCCUACAGUAGCUUGUGGCAAUUCUAUCAUAUAAGGAGAUAUAGGAUUCUCCAUACAAUUUUCUCCUCACAGUGUCAGCUCUAAGAAAUAGUAUACUAAGUGGCACCUUACAGAGCACCUUUCUCACUGGGGUAACUGCCCAGCACUUCCUGGCAUAAAACAUCUGCUAUGUGGGAAUGUGCACAUGGCCACAGGGCUCGCUUGCUCUGCACCAUACAAGACAUCUCCUCCUCCAGGAGUGCACAGCUGGAGAAGGUUCUUUCCUUCCUUCUCCUAUGCAAGAGACAUCACCCAUUAGAGCUCUCCAUGCACAGGUACAUGCAAGGUGCUCAACCAAUGCUCCGACCUGCUGAGAACCCAACACCAGGACAAUGGCACAACUCGCAGUGCUGUCGCCAUCCUCAGCCCAGCAAACAUGACAGCAACACUAUGAGGGCUUUGUGCCACUGCCCACGCAGGUAAGGAGACAAAAAGCCUUUCACAAGAGCACGGGCAAGCGGGCAGCUGCCAGCCUCCUCCGCAAUGUUGCUGCAGUCACCACUGCCCCCUGCUCAAAGCAUGGGCACAGGCAUGGAAGGAUUUCAGGGUGCAGCAUUUCCCAAAGCCCCAGUUCACUUUCCUCUCACAGAGCUUGCUCCCAAAGCAUCCCAUCCCACCUUUGGACCCAAGCAGGACACGUGUCAUCACCUCCCCUCUCGGGGCGCAGCUCCUGUGCCAUGCAGGUGCAGUGCCCCAACGCCCUGCUUUCCCCUAUCUCCCCCCGCCCCUGGGGCAUAAAUCACCCCCAGCAAAGAUAACACUGGGCCAGGAAAGCCUGCAGGAACCUUGGGACACCAAGGAUUGGUGGAAUGGAACCCAAAACACUGCGAGCAGCCAUGGAAGCUGGCACCACCACCAAGCCGCAGCGCUCUGCCCUCAUUCAGUUUCCCUUUCUGCAGCUGCUCCUGGCACUGUGGCAGCCCCCAGAAAUGAGUCCCAGGAGCUGCAAAGACUGCAUGCAGCUCAUCGAGAUGCACAAGAAGCAGCAAUACCAGCGCAGCAUGCAACACACGAAGCAUCCUUCCCCUCUCUUCUGCAUCCAGCUCCAGGCACCACACACCACAAAGCCUGCACAAGGGCGAGUUGUUUGGGUUGCUCUGCAAAAAAAAACAGGACUUGGGGGCAGUCUGGAAGGAAGAAAGGUCUUUUUCCUCAAGAAUGCAAAACAGGAGCAGACAUCUCUGUGAGCGUUCCAAACGGACCCACUUUCCCCUCUGCUCACUGUUUUAUAGAAGCUCGCCAGAAAGUGAUUUGCAGGCUGGCUUUGAAGAAGCAGAUUGUGACUUCUGGCAUCCAACUGCAAGGUUUGCAGCCCCGAACAGCAGAGCCUGGCUGAGGGCAUUCAGCGCUGAACAGUAACAGAGCACCUGGUUUUGGCCAAAGGCAUUCAGCAUUCAGACAGGAAGGUCAAGGCAUGCAUUGCUCUGCAGCCUUAAAACAAGCUUUAUUUCUGAUAACAAGCCCUCCGAUCUGCCAGAGCUAUCAGUCCUCUGCACCAACCUGAUGAGCAGGAGGUACAAUUAAAGGUUAAGCCAACGCUGAACGUUUUGCUGCACAACCCCCUUGUACACAAGAGCACUUCAGUGUCCCAUCAAGAGCAGAUCAAGGGCGGAGGAGCUGAUGGAGGAUGGAUCCCUCCGUGUCAGCCCCACCAGCACCGAGCCAGCCUGUGCCAGAAGGCACACACCACCUCCCCCAGCCAGAAACGUGCACACUGCAAAGCUGAAGCCAUCUGGCUCCCGACUCACCAUCUGCACUCCUGGCAGCCACAGGAGGAGCAAGAGCUGGAGGAAGCAACCUUGCAGAAAGUGCUUCUGCUCCAGGAAAACCAACCAUCACUGCUGGGAGCGCAGCUCCUUCCCUUGUUGCCUCCUCCAGGCUUUUCUCCAAAUCUAUAACAUGCUGGCCAAAGCAGCAAGAGGAACAGAGGGACUCCUGUAGCACAGGUAUGCUUCUGGCUGUGCAUCCCCUUUUUGGCUGGUCCCACCUCUUUCCAGCUGUGGGUACGUACUCAAGUUACAUGGCUGAGGUUUAACACAGGAUGCAAAGAAAGCCACGCAGCAAAAGCUAAGCUGCUCUCCUGACAUUUUGUAUUGACAUCCAUUCACACACCCCCCACUCUGCACUCUCCUUAGGAGCAUUUUACACUGUUGCAGAAGUUUUCUGGCUGUACCCAAAAGGAAAACCAGCAGUGACAGACCCAGGGUCACCAGGUAAGGAAAGGGCACAGGAGGACAAGGUGCAAUGCCCACAGCAAGGCUGGAAUGCGCCACUCAGUAUCACAGGGUUGUUGUGCUGCUUCAUCAAGGCUAAAAUAGCAUAGUAAAACAAACUCCCAGAGCAAACAAAGACAAGCAGAGCCCUGCCAAGCAGACAGAGGCAUCAUACAGCAGACAUGAUGCGCUUUGAGUGCUAAUUGUGAACGUGCCUGCUUUUAUCAAAGUCCUUAUUGACUCAAUAAAACCACAAUCUUUCAAGCAAGGCUACUCCUGCCAGCGAGACCGCAGCCCUGCCCCUGGAGCACAGGCUCUGCUGGCUUCUGCCUCUUGGUCCAGCUGGGAAUAGAAACUCUGUACCAGCAAGGUUCACACGUUGCUUAUAGUGGUGGAAAGUGAGGGUGGAAAAGGAGGGCAUGAGCAAGCCCCAGCCAUGAUUGAACACACAGACUGCUCCAGGAGGAGAGCAGAGCAGCAUGGACAUCUCUACCUACCUUGAAUACCUCCACGGAUGGUGACCCUACUACCUCCUUGUGCCAAUGACUGCCCACUCUUUGAGAGAACAGAUACUCCCUAAUAUCCAACCUGAACAUGACACCCCAUCGGCCCCCAAAAGGACAAAAGCACCACAACUGACACUUCAUAUGACCACUGCAUCCCCCUCUGUGGGGCAAAGCCCCAUGGAAAUUACCUCCCACCCUCUCCAAAGCAUCAAGACUCACAGCAGCCCCCCCCCCCCCCCAGCAGCAGCAGCAGGACCCCUCCAUGGGCACAAAGACCUACAGCCAAAGGACCCCACAGUGUCCCACUCCCCUCCCAGCCAAAGGACCCCACAGUGUCCCACUCCCCUCCCAGCCAAAGGACUCCACAGUGUCCCACUCCCCUCCCAGCCAAAGGACCCCACAGUGUCCCCACCCCACAGCCAAAGGACCCCACAGUGCCCCACUCCCCUUCCUGCCAAAGGACCCCACAGUGUCCCAC